UCAUGCUUAUGUCAUUUGAUUUUUUUGCCCUUUCCCCCUCCAAGCAUGGAAACUUUUUCUCCACACAGUUAUUCACCAUUUCUACAGACAAUCUCCCAUUCCUUUUUAUGCUUUGUUUGAUUUUCAUUUUUUCCAACUACUUUUUUUUCUGUCCUCUUCACAAUCACGCAUUGUUCAUUCAAAUAAUAUUACACUUAUUCCUACCACACAUUUUUCAUAAAAAUGGGCUCAAACACUCCCUUACUUGUUCCAUUCUCGAUUUUGCCUCUCAAUUAUACAUCAUACACAUACCUCUUUUACACUCCGUUUCUCCAUUCCUCCCACCUCCAGUUAUACAUCACAAGCUUCUUUUGCUCUCUUCAUUAGCAAAUUUGGGAAUGGAAUUUAGAGGAGGAAAAAGGAGAGAUAGAGAAUUGCUGUGGAAAAUGGGAGUACGCCUCUGCAAUAAUUGGGAUUGGAUAGAGAGAAAAGCUCUCUUGCAUUUGAUGAAAGCAAAAAUAGAAAUUUCCUGCUAAAACGUUUGAGGAGAAGUUGAGUUUGGCUCUAUCAUUUCAUUUAAUUUGAAAUUUUGAGAUUUAGAAUCGAGUUUUCUAUUAAGUAAAAGUAAUAGGAUAAGUAUUUAGUUUAUAUUGAUUAUCUUUAAUGUUUCAAUAUAGGGGUUGAAGAUGAAUAUGAUCAUGACAAACUAUUCAAUGCCAUGGACGACGGGAUAUGAACUACGCAAAAAGAUCAAUUGUGAGGAAUUGCUUCACUUUGCAGUAGGAGCCAUGACAGGGUUAAAAGUCAAUGCUAAUAUUUGGAGCAGGUGGCGUUGGACUUCAUGGUCCGUACGGCUUCUGAUGGAUUUGCCAUAAUGAGGAAGUUAAUUUUCUUCAUUGGUAGCUGGUUAUCGAAUCUAUUAUGGUGGGGCAAGAAUGCCUACAGUUGAAUCAAUGUUGGACAAGGAAAAUAUUACAUUGGAAGAGCUUCUAUUUGAAGAAGAGAUUAUCCGGGAAUGCAAAUCAUUAAAUAGUUGCCUCAUAAAUUUGAAUGCACCUUUAUUUUUCAGCUGCAUAUUUCUAUUUUAUUAGUCUUGUCAUUUAUGUUAUGGGUGCCUUUUUAAUGGGUAAUGGUUCCUUGGCAAUCACACCCUCACCAUGAUCUGCUGGUUUCACUUUUAGUUUUGAAGUUCUGUGAAGACAAUGUGAAAUUGUAUUGGUGUUUAGUUUGAGAGAUAGAGCUCAGGUUGAACAGUUGCUGAACUACAUCGUUCAUGAGUCUCCAAAUGAUGUGGAUAGCAAACGAAUGUCCAGAUGCCAUAUCAUUUUAGCUUUCAAACCGUAUUUAUUUUUCCCCAAAACUGGUCUUAUGAACAUGAGGUAUUAACUCAA